CCUCCCAUGGCCAGUCCAAUAUCGGUGCCUCUGUUUCUUUCCAAUUGAAGGCAACAGUGAGUGUGCGAUGCGGUUUCAUUGAAACCCUAACGGAUGAACUUUUUGAAGCUGGGGUUUUCACCUGCAAAUCUGUGACUCCCGCUCCGACGACCUUAGGGUCCAAUGGAUGUACUGUAGCAUGUGUCUCUUUGAUGCGCUUGCUGGGGUUAUUCUAUUCCGUUAAAGAUUGUCUUGGUGAUGGCCAUUUUGAUGGGAGUCCUCCUUGUUCAGACGAUUUAGAUGAAGGUUUGAAUUCUUUCUCUCCACUUUUUUUUGUCAAGGAUCUGCUUUUUGUUUAGCCCGAUGGGGUCUCUGGCUUCUCUUCUGUUCAUAUUCAAACUACUCCUACCACCAUCGUCGGCGUCGAUUUCUCCGCUGACACCGUUGGUGUUGGGUUCUUUGAAGGAAUUGUUACCUGAGAUGUGGCUCUUCCCCUUCUCAUCAGAACUUCUGGCCUUGUUAGGGUUUUUCCUACCUGCCAUCCUCUGUAAUGCUUGCUCCCUAGUGUAUCAGAGGGCAUGCUUGCCUUCUGACAUAACAUGAGGUUCUACACCUCAUGUUUUGGUAGCUUAUGUUCUGUAUAUGUCCUGCUCCUUCUCUUGGCUAUUACUAGAUGGCUGGGUGGAGUUUGUUUGUCUCUGGCUGAUUUGACUGUAGAAUUCUUGUUGAUGCUACAUUGGGUAACUUCGUUGAGCUUGUCUGCAGAUUUGCUGACGAUGAAGUUUGUCCUGGGAAUGCUCAUUGUUGUCCUACUAAUUUAUCAAGCUCUGUCUUGUGUGGUCUAGCUCUUAUGGCUGGUUUUUUGUGACCUUGCAUGUUUGCUGAGGUUGAUGCUAGCUUUCCUCUUUAGCUUGUGUUAUGCAGGUUAGUUAGCUUGUUGCUGCUAUAUGCAGCCUGGUAUGCUGUGCUUCUUGAAGCUGGCUGGACUUAUGGUUUGCUAGAGUUGUUGUGUCUUUGACUUACUUCUCUGGCUCGUUGCUUUUGGCUUACUGCCAGGAGUCUCUCCUCCCCUGCAUGUUCCCCUGUUGUUGGAUGUGCAGGUUGCAACUGCUGUUAGCUUGCUACUUUACUAUAUUGCAUGAGUGACUUGGGAGCUGAUCUCCUCUGUUGGGUGGAGUUUGUUUGCUCAGUUCUUCCCUGUUUUCUAUAUGAGAGGCUUGCUGAUGCGUGGUCCCUGGUCCCUGAUCCCCUUGUUGGAUCUCUGGUUUGAUGACAUAUUCCUGCGGUUCUUGCUGGAAUGGUCUUGGUUUGAUAGUCUUCCCUAUGGGUGGAGGCUGCUUCAGGGUGCUAGAUGCUUGUCUACUGGUAUCUGGUUUUGGUUAGUUUUGCUUGUCUUCUGGGCCACUCUGUGGUUGUUGUUGUGGUUGUGCUCAAUUUGUGACAACGGUUUCUACACUGGAGUCUGCUAACAGCAUAGCUUCCAUCCCUUGCAUGGGAGCUGGUGCUUGUAGGUCUUCUGAUGUUGUAGAUGUCUGCUGGUCUGCUGGUUAGGUCUUAUGUUGAGUAGGCUACUGACUUGAUGUUGCGGCUGUUCAUUUUUGGCAUGAUGCUCUGGUCUAGCCUGUUGCUGAACUGGAGUAGUCGUUUUGCUUUUGUGGAUAGCUGGUUUGUUGAUGAGUUUUGUUGGUGAAGGUUUUGCUCCUUGUCUCAGUUGUUGUUGUCCUUCUCUUGAUGGAAAGCUUGUUGCUGCUUCAUGCAUGGUUGCAGUUUCUGAUCAAAUUCACUAGUUUUUG
rnacentral:lncRNA from 1 species